CCCAAAGGUAGCUAGCAAUUUGUGAGUGUGUGAGAAUAUGUGUGUCAGUAUCAGUGUGUUUGUCAGUGAGAAUGUGUGUGUCUAUUUAGGUGACCAGCCCUCUGCAUGGGAAAGGUGUUUUUACAAACCUUUUCCCUCCAAUAAUUACCCACUCAAGAAUAAGCAUUAGGGGUCCUGGCACACUGCACCCAGUCAAUGAGCUGAAGUGGUCUAGGUGCCUAUAGUAUGCCUUUAAACUUUGUUUAAAAACUGUCUCCUAACCUUUUUGGCUCGCUCCUACAUUCCAAACAAAUUUGUAACACCCUGAUUUAAUGCAUAUGGACAAAAAGGAGAUAAGUGCACCUAGAUGAGUUUGACACUAAAGCAGUGUUUUCAACAGCUGCUAGUAAUCAGAAUAAAGAUCAAUUUUAGAAAAUAAUAUGAAAAUUUUUACUUUGUCUCAAUUAACUUUUUUUGUCUAGUAGAAGCUCCUGGCUCUCACUAAUGGUCUGGUGGAAGGAAGGGGCUAUUGCCACUACAGUGUGCCAAGCAUAGACU